rnacentral:tRNA from 1 species
GGGGAACUAGCUCAGAUGGUAGAGCGCUCGCUUAGCAUGCGAGAGGUACCGGGAUCGAUGCCCGGGUUCUCCA